UUGACCAAGGCUAAGUAUUGAUGCAUAAAGGUACGCAAGUCUUAUUUUUACAAGCCGCUAUCUAAUUGAAUCUUGUAUUUUAGUUCAGACUGAGAGUUUUUUAAUCAGCUAGUGUUAAACGUGUGAUAGGUUCAUUAGAUAAUGGAAACUCAGAAAAUUGCCUAGUAUUCCAUAAGCUGCGACUGCACCAGUGUAUCUCAUUAUAUACCCUAAUUGGAUUUUUUAAGUUUUUCUUCUGUGCAAUUUUAUCAAUGUUGAAUUGAGGCACCAGAUUGUGUAAUCCAUUUUUUGCAACUGUCCAGAUAUAUGAAACCUUUGCGAGAGCUGAAAUGUUUUUGGAAUAAAAAACAAAUGUUGCAAUUAUUGGUGUUGAUAACAAAGAAGGUAAUGAAUUUCUCUGUUGGAUAGUUUUCAAUCUUAAUCUUGUUUAUUAUUCAAGGAACUGCAUUGGUUUCCUUAAACUAGUAUCGUGAUUCCUCUUAACAUUUGUUGUUUUAUACCGUAGGUCAAAGAGCACAAGUCGUUCGCCUACUUCACUAUAUUACUAUUUUGCAAGGAUGUGAGAGAGGACGUCAAGAAUGCCUUCACUAGCCAAUAAGCUUACUAGUCAGUAUUCUUU
rnacentral:lncRNA from 1 species